AAGUCGUAACAAGGUUUCCGUAGGUGAACCUGCGGAAGGAUCAUUACCGUGUCAAUGGGGCUCGUCCCCAUCAUCACACCCCCCUGUGAACUAUUCGACCCUACUACUUCUGCGUCUUUGGCAAACGUCCAGUGGCCAUAGACCUUGCCAAAGCGCAGAACGAACAAACCCGUCGUUUGUGGUACUGUCUGAGCGAGAUUUUACAAACAUUAAAACUUUCAACAACGGAUCUCUUGGUUCCAGCAUCGAUGAAGAACGCAGCGAAAUGCGAUAAAUAAUGUGAAUUGCAGAAUUCCGUGAAUCAUCGAGUUUUUGAACGCACAUUGCACUCCUUGGUAGCCCGAGGAGUACGCCUGUUCGAGUGUCAUAACACCUCUCAAGCUCGGCUUGGUAUUGAGACGACUGCGCGGCUGCGGCGGCUGCAGGUCUCUAAAGACAUUGGCGAUGCACCUAAUAGUGUAGACUCACUAAAUCUCACUAGUUACUUGGGCAUCGUGCCACAACUUUUCACAUGAGGAGGGGGUGACCCCGACUCGACCCAAAGUUGACCUCGGAUCAGGCGGGGAUACCCGCUGAACUUAA
rnacentral:rRNA from 1 species